UAUAUAUUUGAAAGUUUUUGUUGUAUUUGUCUUUGUUCAAAACAUAAUAAAUAUAUGCGAUCGAUAUCAUUACUUAUUUGGUCACAGCACUACAACUAUCAAAUUAGAACUGUCAUCGAGAAAACAAAGAAAUGGAAAUAGUAUAAGGCACUGAGCUUAUCCCAUAGUAUAGUUAGUAUUUUAUUAUUAUUUAGGCACUUAUUAACUCCAUGGCUCAUCCUAACACAACACAUGAAAAAAACAUUGAUCUAAGAAGACCAGCAUGCAGCCCAAUAUAAUUUUUCGGGUUUGAUUUUUAUUACACGAUUUAUUAUCCUUCACCAUGGAAGUCAGUUGCGAAUGCUUGUUAGGAAACUCCAGUCGCGCAUCGGAGCGUAUUAUUUUGUUUACAAUAAAUAAAAACAAAUUGUGUUUGUUUAAUUUUUAUUACGAAAUAUUAUUAAAAAUCAUUCUAAGUAACGCAAUGUAAUAGCUAAAUUAAACUACGCUUAUUAAUAUUACUUAAUGUUUAAUUGGAUGUUGAAAUACUGGCAGUGAAAAAUACACUAAUAUACGUACAAAAUUACAACUACUUUGUUAACACUGCUUUGAGAUUGAAAAUUGUCGGUAAUUUAUGACCAUUCCUAUUAAUUUCGAGGACCAAAUUCAUUCUCUCUCUAUAUCUCAAUAAAAAUAACAGUUCAUUAUUUUAUAAAUGUAUUAUUAAUUUGGUGUUAAUUUGUUAAUUAGCGCAUGUGUACAAAAGCAAUUUGGAAAAUAUUCGUUACGCAGUUACAAAAUUGCACUGUUUGUACAAAUAUACACAAGAACAUUUACUCAAAAUCCAAAUUAAUUAAAUGCAAUGCUGUUUCUGAUUUUUGUUAAAACAGUUGAUGCAAUUAAAAAAAGUAUAAAAAAAAGAAAA